GACGAACGCUGGCGGCGUGCUUAACACAUGCAAGUCGAACGGAAAGGCCCUGCUUUUGUGGGGUGCUCGAGUGGCGAACGGGUGAGUAACACGUGAGUAGCCUGCCCUUGACUUUGGGAUAACUUCAGGAAACUGGGGCUAAUACCGGAUAGGAGCUCCUGCUGCAUGGUGGGGGUUGGAAAGUUUCGGCGGUUGGGGAUGGACUCGCGGCUUACCAGCUUGUUGGUGGGGUAGUGGCUUACCAAGGCUUUGACGGGUAGCCGGCCUGAGAGGGUGACCGGCCACAUUGGGACUGAGAUACGGCCCAGACUCCUACGGGAGGCAGCAGUGGGGAAUAUUGCACAAUGGGCGGAAGCCUGAUGCAGCAACGCCGCGUGCGGGAUGACGGCCUUCGGGUUGUAAACCGCUUUCGCCUGUGACGAAGCGUGAGUGACGGUAAUGGGUAAAGAAGCACCGGCUAACUACGUG
rnacentral:rRNA from 1 species